rnacentral:rRNA from 1 species
GGGGCGCCUUGCGCGCACCGGCGGACGGCUCAGUAACACGUCGGUAACCUACCCUCGGGAGGGGGAUAACCCCGGGAAACUGGGGCUAAUCCCCCAUAGGCCUGAGGUACUGGAAGGUCCUCAGGCCGAAAGGGUCUCUGACCGCCCGAGGAUGGGCCGGCGGCCGAUUAGGUAGUUGGUGGGGUAACGGCCCACCAAGCCGAAGAUCGGUACGGGCCAUGAGAGUGGGAGCCCGGAGAUGGACACUGAGACACGGGUCCAGGCCCUACGGGGCGCAGCAGGCGCGAAACCUCCGCAAUGCGGGCAACCGCGACGGGGGGACCCCCAGUGCCGUGGCAUCGCCACGGCUUUUCCGGAGUGUAAAAAGCUCCGGGAAUAAGGGCUGGGCAAGGCCGGUGGCAGCCGCCGCGGUAAUACCGGCGGCCCGAGUG